UGAUGUGAGGGCGAUCUGGCUAUGCCAUCUAUCACCCCAUUGAUCACCAGGGUUUAUUCGGCUGAUCUGGCUAGCUAGGUGGGUGUCCCCUUCCUCCCUCACUGCUCCAUGCACGCAUUUGAAGAGGGUUACCUUCCCCGAAUAGAGGAGGACUGGUCUUCGGUCAAGGGUAUACAAGUAGCUGCGCUCCCCUGCCAGAACCCCCAAACAAGCGCUCAAGGUCUAUUUGUAGGAGAACGUAGGAUAGUCAAGCUUCCAAGACUCCAGUGAUUCUACUGCAUGUACUGGCUUUUUGGGAUCCUCGUCAGUUUGUAUGCAC
rnacentral:snRNA from 1 species